rnacentral:lncRNA from 1 species
AUUCACCAGUAGAGCCAAGGAUCCGAGGCACUUUUGACAAACAUUCCAAGUUUGGUUAUGCUGGUUGGCUGGCUAUAUUUCAGUUUUUAUGAAAUUAUUCUCCAGACUUCUAUACUUGUUCUAACUUCAUUGCGAUGAGUAGAUUACAAGCUCUAUCCCAUCUCCUCAUACUAGGUAUUCUGCUGGCUAUAUUUCACCACCAUUGUGCCAUCCUAUGCAAGGUCCAUGCCAUGCAAUCAGGCAAGCUACUACUACCCACUGAAACAUAUUAUCAAGUUUGACCACCAUUUCCAUUUGGUUCUCAACAACAUAUCAUAUUUUUCUUUGAUCAAACUUACUUUCUCAAUUGUUUCACUAGUUGAUUCCGAGCUCAGGCAUCAAAACUCAAGGCUCACCACUGGCUACAUUUCAACUACUUGGGUAAGUAUACAAGUUACCUCUUCUUUAGUUCACUUUGCCUUUUCUUCUUAAUUAAUCCAGAUAGAUCUAAUUUAUAAAUGCUCUCUCUACGUAGGUAAAAGAUAAUAAGAAGAUUGGUAAAAGGCCAUCUGCACCAAACCCAGUCGGAAAUCAUCGUCCACCAUCAAGAACAUAAAUCAAUUUAUCUACUUGUUCGGAGUAAUAAGAGUAGAACAGAUGAUCACAAAAGUUCUUUGAAUAGGAUUAUGGUAGGCAUUUGUACGAGGCAGACAAUAUACAAAGCUGCAUCUAUAUAAAGAUAAAUAAGUCUAGAUGAUUUCAAUUCCAUGAAACCUUCCACUCAUAAAGGGAGCAGCAGGGUUUUCUGGUGACAUCAUUUAGGUUUGGUUCCAAUAUACUCCCUCCAUUCCUUACUAACUGACGUAUGAAAAGAUUGACAUAAACCUAUCCAAUUCUACAUCUGGAUGGGAAGAGAGGGAUAUCGAGCAAAAUGUAUGGGGCCUUCCAAGCUGGCCGAGUCUCCAAAUGUGGAAAAGUAAAUCUUAAAAAACUUUGUUAAAAUAUCCUAAACUUGAAAAGAAUAAACUAUUUUUCUUCCUAUGUGGUUAUGUAUACAACACUAACGUUUAAAUGUUCAUAAUAAAUGUUUGCUCAAUAAAAACUCACUCAAACGAUGUUCAAAAAUUAGAAUUGUGGUUUAUGCUGUGCAAUCUGCUUGUCAAUUUACAACUUCAAGCUACAGUUUAGGCUUCAAUUCUAAAUUUGAAAUCACUAACAUGGUAUCAUAACCUGAAAGGGCACUUCUGAAAACCAACCAAAGAAAUGUCUCAUCCUACCAAACAAUACCUUUUCGUAAUAUCUGCUACCAGACCAUAAAUAAAAGAACUAACGUAAAAUUGGCCACUAUAUAUUUCUAAGAUACAAUUGUUUAAAUAUACAAGAUUCAAAGGAAUCUACAAAAUUAAGUAUACA